ensembl:lncRNA
CCUAACCCUAACCUUCCAGGCAGUGGAUGUGAAAGUGCUGAUUAGACCUGUGAAAAGCUUCAAUGUUGCUAUGAAUGUGAAAGUGCUGAUUAGACCUGUGAAAAGCUUCAAUGUUGCUAUGAAUGUGAAAGUGCUGAUUAGACCUGUGAAAAGCUUCAAUGUUGCUAUGAAUGUGAAAGUGCUGAUUAGACCUGUGAAAAGUUCCAAUGUUGUUUUGGAUGUGAACGUUUUUUGACUCACCUCCUUCCCAGAGCUACUAGUUCUAUAGGAAGACAUUGUUUUCUGUUUGGUUUUUCUUAACUUUAAUAGAUGAUCACAGUCAGAGCUGGGAUUGAGAAACACCCUGUACUAUACAUGACAAGCUUUGAAGUGCCCCAAAGCUCUUUUUGCAUGUGUAACCUAGGGUUACUGUGUGCAUCAUCAAGGCGGGGCCUGAAGACUGAACCCUCUUUUGGCUAUAUAUAGUUGAAGUAUAUCACACAUCUGGACAAACCCCCUUUGGCUAUAUAUAUAUAUAUAUAGUUGAAGUAUAUAUCACACAUCUGGACAAACCCCCUUUGGCGAUAUAUAUAUAGUUAAAGUAUAUAUCACAUCUGGACAAAUUAACAGACACAUUCUGGGAGUGUUUUUGGAAGUUUAAUUUUUAUUUCUUUAUUUAAUUUUAAUUUUUUUUUUUUUUUCAGCUUUACUUUUCCAUAAAAAUCCUGAGGUAUUCACAAGAUAAUGGCAUUAACUCUGUUUGGAAACGAGACAAGAGCAAGAACGCUCAAAGAAAAUGAAAAAAAAAAAAUCUACACAAAAUAAACAAAACAGAACACAAACUAAUGAAAAAAAAAAAGAAAGAAAAAAGUACAGCUUCCAGAAAUGUGCGACAAUAAACAACAAGAACAUAGUUCCUUAAAAUAUUCUACCAUAGCUCAACAACCUUUGUUUUUCUUCUCAAUGUUAAUUUUAUUUGGUGCACUUUUAAAACUUUUUUUAUUUUAAACUCUUUAAAAGCCUUUCUGAUGUUUCCUUAAUCUGGCUCUUUGGGAUUACUGAGCCGAUGGCUUGUUUUUAAAGUAUCUCACCUUAGCCAGCUGAUUGGUUGACCUAAUCAAACAGACACUCAAGCUGACUGAAACACUUUUACUGAUUUAAUUACACUGAAGAAAGUAGCCAUAAUAUAUAGAUGUCCAAUCAAAAAACAAAACAACAAAUUCAGAAUACAGAUGCUGGCGUCCAAUCAAACGGUCCAGUGGGGGAGGGUCUGUUCUCAAGAGAGUCUCUCACUGGAGAUUAUACUUCUUUUAUUAGCCAAUCAGAAACCUUUUAGGAAAGUGGUGUGGUUUGACAAGCCCCUCCCCCAGUUCUCAGCCCAUCUGAGUGACAGUGUCGGCCAACACCAAACUCCGAACAAAAUAAGGAUAAUGAUAAUAAUAAUAUUAUAUAUUUAUAUAUUUAUACAAGUCAUCAUAAAUAUUUAUAACAUACACCAGUUAUUUGUUUUUGUUCUUCCCCCAGACAUCUUCAUGUAAGUUUAACAGAUAAAAUCAAGAGAUUUAAAAAAAAAAAAAAAAAAAUUAAAAACUGAUUCUGAGACAGUAUAACAAGGCUCUCUGGUCAGGGGGAUAGGAACCCAGUGGAACCGUACCCCUCCCUGACCCUCGGUUCUACGCAGCACUGCAGAACUCAGAUUAAAACCAUCAAAAACAAACAAACAAACAAACAAACACACAAUGAUGAGAAAGCAGGUCAGAUAUCCUAAAGCUCCUCACAAGACAGGAUUCUUCAUCUUAGCAUGAAAAUCCUGCAGGAAGAGUGUAUGAGAAACGCCCAAAAAAGGACAAAAAGAGGGCGGGGUUUUGUGUGUGGGGAGGGCUUGAUGGUCAACAAUCAUAAAGAAAUAUACACAAACAAAGCUGGUUAUUUGUAGGUGUGUGUGUGUGUGUGUGUGUGUGUGUGUAUGCAAUCAUAAAGAAAUAUACACAAACAAAGCUGGUUCAAGAAGAAAUGAAAUCAGUAAAGAGUAACGUUUGCAGGCAGCUAGGCUGAAGGUGCCCUGUGAACUUUCACCUUUGACCCUACCUGCCUUGUUUCUAAACAACGUUCAAAAGAAAAACCAAACAAUAACGGAAGUCAUCAAUUUCAGCUGAGCACACUUUCAGUCCAACGGUGUCUCCACCACACACACACACACACACAAAACAUAUUUGAUCAAUUUGGUGUGUCUGCCCUGAAUACAGUAAGAAUUGCACAUACACACAGUCUCUCUCUCACUCUCUCACUCUCUCACACACACACACACACUCACACACACACAGCGUAAGAGACUCUACUAAGACGCAAACGCCCUAAACGCGGAUGACAGCGAAUUAAAUGAUGCACGCUACAAAAAAAGAAAAAAGAAAAGAAAGCCUCCAAGAGAAUCAUCUGAAAUCAACCAAAAACAUCAUCAACAAUAAAAAUAUGACAAUAAUAAUAAUAAUAAUAAUAAUAAUAAAAAUAACAAUGAAAAGUAAAGAUUUCAGAGAAGACUGCAGGGAGUUGGAAGCAAAGCACACUGUUCUGAUGUCACCACGGAAACAGCAUGCUGCUCUGACAGACUUCUCAAUGGUUCUGACGUCACCACGGAAACAGCAUACUAUUCUGACAGACUUCUCAAUGGUUCUGACGUCACCACGGAAACAGAGGUGGCAGCAGAGAGGGGAGGGGCUUCUCCUCCAUAGAUACCUCCCCGGCAACCAAAGCAGGGAAAGAAAAAAAAAAACAGGACAAAGAGAGGAGAAAUAAAACAGCAAAAACGUAGCAAGUCAUCAAAAGUCUUUUCCUCUUCCCUCUGUCUAAAUGGGGAAAGCAUAGUGAGGAAAAACAAAAACAAAAACAAAUAAAAACAAUCAGCAGAACAGAAUAUCAUAAAAGAUGUAAAAAUAUAAAUAAACUUUUCUUUUGUGUGGUUCCCCAGACCCCAAGCUCAGGGGUCCGAGGCAGUUAAACGAAAGACAAGAACAUGCAGCUCAUAUACUUACAGCGUAGAACUAACCCCCCACCCCACCCAAACACACACACACACACACACACACACACACACACACACAGCGUAGAACUAACCCCCACCCAAAACACACACACUUACAGCGUAGAACUAACCCCCACCCAAAACACACACACAGCAUAGAACUAACCCCCACCCCCACCCAAAACACACACACACACACACUUACAGCGUAUAACUAACCCCCACCCAAAAUACAAUCCUUAAAUAUAAACCAGCUCAUUCAAUACAAUACACACCUCUACACCUCACGCUCUGUUACACACACACACCCCUCUCUCCAGCUCAUGCUCUCUGUUACACACACACACCUCAAUUUAUUCUCCUAAACUUGCCUGUACGUCAGGUGUUGCUGAAGGCUGAAGGUAGAUGGUUAAUGGUAGAAGAUUCAGCCAACCACACACACAGACACAGACCAAGACACACAGCUAAUCCGCAACAGAAAAACCCAGGGAUGCUGCUCCCUAGCGACAUCAGGUGACAGGGACGCUGUUGCCUAGCGACAUGAGGUAACAGGGAUGCUGCUGCCUAGCGACAUGAGGUGACAGGGACGCUGCUGCCUAGUGACAUGACAUGAGGUGACUGCAUAGUGUUGGAUAUUUGGUUUAAUUACAUAAGGGGGUGGGAGUGCACUCAUCAACUAACCUAACCAUUACCGACACACACACACACACACACACAGGGGGUGCACUCCAUUACCGACACACACACACACACACACACACACACAGGGGGUGCACUCAUCGACUAACCUAACCAUUACCGACACACACACAAAGCUAACAACUAGCGCCAUCUAAGCAUUUGGUGUUCUGGGUGAGAUACAUGUCUGCUAGAACAGGAGCGAUGUGAAUAUCAGAUCCAUCUGUGUUUCUGUUUCUCUCUCACUCACACACACACACACACACACCUUAGAGUGUCAAGACGGAUCUAGAGAAGACAGAGGACACACCUGUCCUAAAACUGUGUGGGUGAGUGUGUGUGUGUGUGUGUGUGUGUGUGUGUGUGUGUGUGUGGGUGUGGGUGUGGGUGUGGGUGUGGGUGUGGGUGUGGGGGUGUGUGUGUGUGUGGGUGUGUGGGAGAGAGGGAAGUUGGGGGGCGGGACUAAGAGAGUGUGGAUGAGACUGGACACCAAUGCUCUCAGCAGCCCAGCACAUGUGGGCCGGGUGUGGGUCGGGUGUGGGCCUGGUGUGGGCCGGGUGUGGGUGUGGGUCUGACUGAGCUUUCAGCAGAGUUAUUUGGUUUUGCACGGCGAUGACGACAGCAUGAUGACGUCAUCAGAAAACAAACAGACAGAACAAAAUUAAAACAAACAUACAAACCAAACACGUCAUUGGCUAGAAUACAUACAGAACACAUGUCAUUGGCUAGAAGGGAUCAACAUCUCUGCUCAGUGUCCCGUGAUUGGUCCAGUCUCUCUAUAGGCCCCACCCACCCUUAACUGGGACUCUAAAUGACACACCCAUCAUCAUCAUCAUCAUCUUUCACUCCUCCCUCUUGUAUUCCUGUGUGAAUAAUCACAUCCAACAGCAUGACAUGAUUGGCUGCCUGGCAGAGUAGCAGUGACAUGAUUGGUUGGUUGGCUGGCUGGCUGAGAAGCAGAGAUAUGAUUGGUUGGUUGGUUGAUUUGGGGUUUGAAGGAGUGGUCACAGUCCCAUCCUUGACUAAUCAGGAAGCAUCACUAUGCAGCAACCUUCGCUAAAUGACAGAGAGACGAGCAGCUUCUCUACAUGCUCUCUCUGACAUGGCCGUUGCUAAGCAAUGCUUCCUAGGAACACAUCCCUGGCAGAUAAACAGGAAGUCCCCUACAGACUGACGGACAGACAGACAGGUCAAAGGUUGCGCACGUCAUCCCCCGACAGCAUCUGACUGUGUGAUGGAUGUAACGUCUAUGGUGUUUUAGACAGAUGGAUGUAGCGUCUAUGGUGUUUUAGACAGAUAAAUGUAACGUCUAUGGUGUUUUAGACAGAUGGAUGUAACGUCUAUGGUGUUUUAGACAGAUAAAUGUAACGUCUAUGGUGCUUUAGACAGAUGGAUGUAACGUCUAUGGUGUUUUAGACAGAUGGAUGUAACGUCUAUGGUGCUUUAGACAGAUGGAUGUAACGUCUAUGGUGUUUUAGACAGAUGGAUGUAACGUCUAUGGUGUUUUAGACAGAUGGAUGUAACGUCUAUGUAACAUCUGUGGUGGAAAAUGAACAAGCCCAGACUUCACUGACUGGAAAAAAAGGUAUAUUCCCUUAUAUAUAAAGAUGUCUUUUUAUGUAGUGACUCCUAAGUUAUCCUCUUUAUUUAUUAUUGUUAUUAUUAUUAUUAUUAUUAUUAUUGAUUCUGCUUAUUACAGCUGUUAAUUUGUUUAUUCUGAAAAUAGUCUGGUGAAUAGUUAAUAUAAUAUAGUUGAUGUCAACUCCAGUAUUGUUGUUGUGGUUGAAUUUUUCCUCAGAGAGGAAUCACAUGAAAAAAAACAACUGCACCAGACUACAUAUCUGUUACCAUUUUUCAACUAUUCUUGUUUCUGUUUUUUUUUUUUGCACUUAUUUCUGUUAUCCGUUUUAUCAACUAUUCCUCUCAUCUGUUCUUAAAUGCUCCAAAUGUAAAGCACUUUGAGCUGCAUUCUUUGUAUUAAAGGUGCUAUACAAAUAAAAUUAUACAAAUAAUUAUUAUUAUUAUUAUUAUUAUUAUUAUAUAUCUAAUGGCCUCUACACGUGGCUAGACACUACAGGUUAGAGAAACUGCCGCUAUUUGUCAGUACUAGACCAGCACAGAAAUCAAUAUUAAUAAAAGAACAGACUCAAAAGUACACAGACGCAACUCUAGUUUAGAAUCAGGUCUAAUGAAUGACAGAAAUCUGCACACGCAAACACAGCGGCUGACUACAACAGAUCUGGCCCUGACUGGUUGGAAUUAGUAAGGAUCUAACAGAUCUGACCCUGAUCGGUUUGAAUUAGAAAGGAUCUGGUAGAUGUCGCCCUAAUUGGUUGGAUUAAGUAAGGAUCUGGUAGAUGUCGCCCUGAUUGGUUGGAUUAAGUAAGGAUCUGGUAGAUGUCACCCUGAUUGGUUGGAUUAAGUAAGGAUCUGGUAGAUGUCGCCCUGAUUGGUUGGAUUAAGUAAGGAUCUGGUAGAUGUCGCCCUGAUUGGUCCGAUCUGGCUCAGAUUCUGACCCUAAUCCAGGAAGUGCCAGGCCAGCUCCAGUCAGCUGUGGCCACCUGUGAACUUUCACCUUUGACCCUACCUGCCUUGUUUCUCUCCUGUGUUCUUUCAUCUCUGAAUCUUUCCUCUCUUCUCUAGCACUGUAGUCCCACCCCAUCCAUCCCUCCCUCCCUCCCUCCACCCAUCCCUCCCUCCCUCCAUCCUCAACUUUUCUUCCAUUGUUCUUGUAUUUGGUUCACGAAUCCCAGAGAGCGGCCCCUUCCAGAACCAACUUGGCCGGGCCCGUACCAGAACUCGGCCGCUGUCUGGGGGGGUUGACUUUGUGGAAUAUUUUGGUUUGUAGAAGACAUCACCUUUGGGUGGCAACAGUAACACAGCAGCGUUUCUAUAGCAACAUCAACAGCAGCAGCAGCAGAAACAGUCCCAAAAUAGAAUAAAUAAUAAUAAUAAUAAUAAUAAUAAUAAUAAUAAUAAUAAAGUCAAAUCAAUACAACUCUUUUAAAACUAAUUAAAACUGUUAAACUAACUCAAAAGCAUUCUAACUGCUAAAUCUGACUAGAUAUCGGUGAAACCGCCACUAGCUCUCGCCACUGAGGAAGAGCACUAGCUCUCGCCACUGAGGAAGAGGAAGAGCACUAGUUCUCACCACUGAGGAAGAGCACUAGCUCACCGUCUCUCGCCACUGAGGAAGAGCACUAGCUCACUAGCUCACGCCACUGAGGAAGAGCACUAGCUCUCACCACUGAGGAAGAGCACUAGUUCAC